rnacentral:lncRNA from 12 species
GGCUCCUGCAACUUCAUUGCUCUCUGACGGGUGCCCAGCCUCCCCGACCUCAGCAGAAGCUCUGGGCGAGCAGCCGCUUCUCUGACACGUGCACUGAUGAGGCCAUGCCCGGCACGAACAGAGCAAGCACGUCCUGAGCCUUGGCUUGGCAGGAUAGGUGGUUGUGUCCCCAGGGCUCCACGCCCAGGCGUGGACAGGAAAGGUUCCCCUAGCACAAGGGCAGCAACCGUUCCCAGGUCCACCCUCCCUCCCGCACCGUCCACAUCCUGAGGGCCAGCCAGGUGUGGCUGGCUCUGACCCCUCCUGGGCGGGAUUUUGCUGUUUGCACAGGGUGGCCGUAUAGCUUAAUGGCAGAGGAGCCCUGAAGUGCAGUGCUGGGAGCCGUGGAGCCAGCAGCAGCACACACGGACCGCCUCUCGAGUCAGGAUGCGCGGUGGCCCGAUUGAAGAGCUGUGUCCACAUCUUUGAGGAGCACUCUACUCCCUCCUGGGAGACUGGCGAGAUCAUGAGAAAGCUUGCUGCGCAGCCCUGGAACCCCAGAGCUGCACCAGCAGGGUGCCGUCUUGGUGUAGAGGGGACGAUGACGGUAGGAUGCUGCCAGCCUGGCAUGUGAUGCAGCCAGAAACAGGCAGGGGCAGCCCGGCGCAGAGUAGGUGCACAGUCACCCCUGGUGCCAGCCGCCAGCCCCAGGCCUGCUGCUGAGACCUCGGGCUUCCCUUCCCAACCUGGGGGAAGCAGGAAUGUGGCGUGAAGCAGGUGGGGAGGACUUACAUCCACCGGAGCACCCAGACCUGCGCCUCUGCUCGGAGGGGGACGGAUCCUGUCCAUCGGAGGCCCCGGCGGUGGAGAUACCUGCUGGUUGGGAAACCGAACGAACUGAUCUUCCCGAUUUGCUUGUAGUGCCUGUGGAUGUGGGUAAGUUCCUAUCUUCCCAAGGACCAUGGUGCCUGGCACAGUUCUUGGUUUCCUUACUACUCGUAGGACCAAGACCUGGUACACCACAGGACAGGUACUUGAGUAGGGUAGGUCUGAGGGCUCUGUGGGCAUUGAUUCAACACAGAUGCUACAGCCCUCAUUCCUAAGGUGGGUGGGUCACACUGAAUGUAGUCUCAAAUGUGACACCCACAUAAGGUCUUGGUUGCACAAUUUCUCUAAUUACAUCCUGGUAAAUAAAAAGAGAGAGAACUGAUUCCUAUCA